CGAAAUUCCUUGUCGGGUAAGUUCCGACCUGCACGAAUGGCGUAAUGAUGGCCACACUGUCUCCUCCAGAGACUCAGCGAAGUUGAAAUGUUUGUGAUGAUGCAAUCUCCCCGCGGAAAGACGGAAAGACCCCAUGAACCUUUACUGUAGCUUUACAUUGGACUUUGAACAGAUCUGUGUAGGAUAGGUGGGAGGCUUUGAAGCGGUGCCGCUAGGUGUCGUGGAGCCAACGUUGAAAUACCACCCUGGUGUGUUUGAGGUUCUAACCUUGACCCGUUAUCCGGGUUGGGGACAGUGUAUGGUGGGCAGUUUGACUGGGGCGGUCUCCUCCCAAAAGUGUAACGGAGGAGUUCGAAGGUACGCUAGGCACGGUCGGAAAAUCGUGCUGAUAGUGCAUAGGCAUAAAGCGUGCUUGACUGCGAGACG
rnacentral:rRNA from 1 species